AACGAACGCUGGCGGCAUGCCUAACACAUGCAAGUCGAACGAGACCUUCGGGUCUAGUGGCGCACGGGUGCGUAACGCGUGGGAAUCUGCCCUUUGCUUCGGAAUAACAGUUAGAAAUGACUGCUGAUACCGGAUGAUGUCUUCGGACCAAAGAUUUAUCGGCAAAGGAUGAGCCCGCGUAGGAUUAGGUAGUUGGUGGGGUAAAGGCCUACCAAGCCGACGAUCCUUAGCUGGUCUGAGAGGAUGAUCAGCCACACUGGGACUGAGACACGGCCCAGACUCCUACGGGAGGCAGCAGUGGGGAAUAUUGGACAAUGGGCGAAAGCCUGAUCCAGCAAUAGCCGCGUGAGUGAUGAAGGCCUUCGGGUCG
rnacentral:rRNA from 1 species